CUACUUCACAAGCGCGCCCGGCGCGCCUAUGUUCGUCGUGUUCCGGCAACGGGACUAUGGCGAUAAACGCGCGCGGAAUAAGCGGUUCGGACCCGGGGGCGGUACCCGGCGGCUCCACCAACACCCGUUCAUUGGCGGGAAUGGGGCCGAAACAGGAUCGACGGACGUGUAAAGGCGUUAUGCUUUCGCUCGGUGGGAUUCGCCGUUAUCGGAUCGAAAAGUACAGUUGCCAAUGACAACCGUGCUCAGGUGGCCGUCGCUGCGUAAUGCAGCGCCCAAACCUACUCUGAAGUCCUGAGGCUUAGCCGCUUCAGGCGGGGCCGCCGGCGCCUGGCAACAGAAGCCGGCACU
rnacentral:tmRNA from 1 species